AGCGAACGCUGGCGGCAUGCCUAACACAUGCAAGUCGAACGGGAAUUAUUCGUAUAGUACCGUGGCGAACGGGUGAGUAACGCGUAGAUAAUCUGCCUUUGGGCGGGGGAUAACCAUUCGAAAGGAUGGCUAAUACCGCAUACGACCGCAAGGUGAAAGGCUUCGGCCACCCAAAGAUGAGUCUGCGUCCCAUUAGCUAGUUGGUGAGGUAAGAGCUUACCAAGGCGAUGAUGGGUAGCUGGUCUGAGAGGACGAUCAGCCACACUGGGACUGAGACACGGCCCAG
rnacentral:rRNA from 1 species